UAUUUAUUUAGAGUCUACGACCGACUGGACAGUCUCUGGUUCCCCAUGUGCUACUGGAAGUUGCAGAAUGAACCCGGAUGUAGGAUACUGGUAUUGUGAAGUAAUGAAUGAUGUGGGCUGGGAUUAUUGCUGUAGACCAGGAGAAAGAUGCGGAUAUGGAAAUAAUGAAAGAUACCCAUGGUGCUAUGUUGGAGAUACCGGAAGUGAUCAAUGGAGACCUUGUAAGCUGUAAACACAUUAGUUAAUGUUCAAACCAUGUUCUCAUCAAGUUGAACUAGUUCUAAAUAGUUCAACUAUAUUCUAAAUAUUUCAACUAGUUCUAACUAGUUAAACUCGUUCUUGCUAGUUCAACUAGUUCUAACUAGUUCACUACUUCUUUAUACCGCCGAAAAAAAAACUUCCAAAAAAGAAUAAGUUGAACUAGCUCUACAAUUGUCUUCAUUAAUUCCAACCUUUGUAAAUACAUUGUUUCACGUUUAAAACGUGUUUGUCCAAAACGCAGCGUUUAACGUUGUAAAUGUAUGAUUCUAAAACACAGUAUUAAACGUUAAAAUUGGCCGGGUUUGAGGAUUAACGUGUUUACCUCUUUUUCCAAUAAACAUAUUGUUUAACGGUAAAAAAUAUAUCUAAAUUAGUUAGACUUUUAUAUGUAGUUUUUCUAUUAUCAAAACCUAUUUAAAAAGUAUUAAACAUACGUGUUUAAAUGAACACAAGAUUUUACACAUAUUUUAGAAAUAGUUGUUCUUUAAUAUUUUUUUCUUAGUUAAUUUUUUAUCGUAAUAUCUUUAAAGUUUCAAGUCGUCUUUACCGUCUCAUAAUUUGUGGGUAACCCUGGUUAAACUUGUAAAAUCCAAAGAUAUGUUUCCCAUAAAUUAUAGACGCCUUAUAGUUACUAAAGCCGACAACCUGACUUUAUGCUAAAAAAGAAUUACAAAAGAUGCUUAUUAUCAUGUGAAUGUCAUAUUAAUAAACAUUUGUAGAUCUUAAUUCAAUGUUUUGAUAUCUUAAUUAUUUUUAAACAAGGAGCUAAAGAAAAAUCAAUAAAUAAGUUGUGCUUUGAA